UACGGAGGAUGCGAGCGUUAUCCGGAUUUAUUGGGUUUAAAGGGUGCGUAGGCGGAUCGUUAAGUCAGUGGUCAAAUUGAGGGGCUCAACCCCUUCCCGCCAUUGAAACUGGCGCUCUUGAGUGGAAGAGAAGUAUGCGGAAUGCGUGGUGUAGCGGUGAAAUGCAUAGAUAUCACGCAGAACCCCGAUUGCGAAGGCAGCAUGCCGGCUUCCGACUGACGCUGAGGCACGAAAGCGUGGGGAUCGAACAGG
rnacentral:rRNA from 1 species